rnacentral:rRNA from 1 species
AUUGAACGCUGGCGGCAGGCCUAACACAUGCAAGUCGAACGAGUGGCGGACGGGUGAGUAAUGUCGGGGAAACUGCCUGAUGUAGGGAGAUAACUACUGGAACCCGUAGCUAAUACCGCAUAACAUGCGAUGUGCCCAGAUGGGAUUAGCGGGUUGGUGGGGUAACGGCUCCCCAAGGCGACGAUCCCUAGCUGGUCUGAGAGGAUGACCAGCCACACGGGAACUGAGACACGGGCCAGACUCCUACGGGAGGCAGCAGUGGGGAAUAUUGCACAAUGGGCGCAAGCCUGAUGCAGCCAGGCCGCGUGUAUGAAGAAGGCCUUCGGGUUGUAAAGUACUUUCAGCGGGGAGGCGUUAUCCGCACAAGAAGCACCGGCUAACUCCGUGCCAGCAGCCGCGGUAAUAC